GGUGAACGCUGGCGGCGUGCCUAAUACAUGCAAGUCGAGCGAACAGACGAGGAGCUUGCUCCUCUGACGUUAGCGGCGGACGGGUGAGUAACACGUGGAUAACCUACCUAUAAGACUGGGAUAACUUCGGGAAACCGGAGCUAAUACCGGAUAAUAUAUUGAACCGCAUGGUUCAAUAGUGAAAGACGGUUUUGCUGUCACUCAUAGAUGGAUCCGCGCCGCAUUAGCUAGUUGGUAAGGUAACGGCUUACCAAGGCAACGAUGCGUAGCCGACCUGAGAGGGUGAUCGGCCACACUGGAACUGAGACACGGUCCAGACUCCUACGGGAGGCAGCAGUAGGGAAUCUUCCGCAAUGGGCGAAAGCCUGACGGAGCAACGCCGCGUGAGUGAUGAAGGUCUUCGGAUCGUAAAACUCUGUUAUUAGGGAAGAACAAAUGUGUAAGUAACUAUGCACGUCUUGACGGUACCUAAUCAGAAAGCCACGGCUAACUACGUG
rnacentral:rRNA from 1 species